CAGUGAUCUUCCUGACCUCACCAGACAGUUUUUUUGUGGUCUGUUUCAAGUCGAUCAUUAGGCUCUGUGAAUGACUGCUGAAUCUACGAGAUCUGUUGGAAAAGGAAGACCUGGGGACGCGUAUCGGCAAAUUAUCAACUCACAUUGAUGAGAUCAAGGGUGAAAUCUACCACGCCGUACACGAGAAGUAUGCCAACUACAGACCCACCAGGGACUCCACCCAGGAGCUACACAACAAGGUGCAGACACUGUCCACUGAGAUGCAGACUCUCAGCAAUAAGAUCAAGGUCUUGACCCACAAGAUAACCAUUCCACCAGCACCUCUGAC